rnacentral:rRNA from 1 species
UCAGCAGCCGCGGUAAUACGUAGGGGGCGAGCGUUGUCCGGAAUUAUUGGGCGUAAAGAGCGUGUAGGCGGUUCGGUAAGUAUGUUGUGAAAUCAUGGGGCUCAACCCUGGGGGUGCAACGGAUACUGCCGGGCUAGAGGGUGGUAGAGGCAAGUGGAAUUCCGAGUGUAGCGGUGAAAUGCGCAGAUAUUUGGAGGAACACCAGUAGCGAAGGCGGCUUGCUGGGCCACACCUGACGCUGAGACGCGAAAGCUAGGGGAGCGAACAGGAUUAGAUACCCUGGUAGUCCUAGCCGUAAACGAUGGACACUAGGUGUGGGCGGAGUCGUAAUCUGUCUGUGCCGAAGCC